rnacentral:lncRNA from 1 species
GAGGAUAGAAGCAUUUUACCGUAGUUGCAUCAGUAAUAUGAGGGAUCCUGUUAAUGAAAAUGCAAAAAUAACCUAUGAAAAUUGGGUUGCCUCCCAACAAGCGCUAAGUUUAACGUCUUCAGCCAGACACAGCGCAUCCUUAUCAAAUCAUACCGGGUAUAGUUGAUUCUAAUGUUCUGAUCUCAGCUCGAAUAUUCCUAAGGGUCCGUUCUAUUUCAGGGUCAAAAGGUAAUAGUUUAGGAGAUCUGGAACGACACCCUAGCAUGCACCAAUACUUUUCUGAUCAAUCAAGUGCAGUCAAGCAUGCAUUAAAAGAAAAACACAUCAAAUCCUUGUAUUUACCCUAAAAUCACUAGACAGCUCCUAACUGGUUUGAAGAGGGCACCUAAGCCUCCAAUCCGGUCUAAUGAACUUAGUUGACCAGGUAAGCUCCCAAGUAAGUGGGGGGGUCACGAUGCGUUCGCAAAGGUCCCACUUAAAAACCACUUGCCUCGAACAGAUGAACUGUCUUCCUUAAGGGACAAAGCUUGCCUAGACAUCAACUGAGCCACAGAGCGAAAUUGGUACAACUUUCGGUGAUCUUCGUCCUAUUGAGCUCGAAUGUCCCUAGGAGCCAAUGUCUAAUUGAUUUUAAUUAAUGUGAUAGCUAUGUGAGAAUUGAUUCACCUAAUUUGGGCAAGAAUCUGGUGAUGAAAUCCAGUUCUUAUCUUGUUGGGGUGAUUAUCCUUAAUAUGUGUGGAUUAAUUGGUGUAUGUGUAUCAAGCAUGCAUUCACACUUUUACUAAAAUUAAAAUCAAACAAUCACCACAAAAUUUCAAGCAAACUGGGAAUCAAUUUAAAUAAGAAAGGUUUAGAGGUUACCAAAGAAAAUUUUCCCAGCAAAUUUUUUUUUUAUGUUUUAAGGCAAACCUCUACAGCAUUCCUUUUCCAGCAGUUCCCUUUUUGAUCGUCCCAGAUGUCUUCUUCGAUUCCUGAUUAAAUAAUACCAAAAUAAAAAUCAAGAAUUAGUAAGAAAGAAGAAAGGGG